GACGAACGCUGGCGGCGUGCUUAACACAUGCAAGUCGAACGGAAAGGCCCCUUUUGGGGUACUCGAGUGGCGAACGGGUGAGUAACAUGUGCGUAACCUGCCCUUGACUUCGGGAUAACUUUAGGAAACUGGGGCUAAUACCGGAUAGGAAUCCUUGCUGCAUGGUGGGGGUUGGAAAGCUUCGGCGGUUUUGGAUGGACUCGCGGCUCAUCAGCUUGUUCGUGGGGUAGUGGCUUACCAAGGCUUUGACGGGUAGCCGGCCUGAGAGGGCGACCGGGCACAGUGGGACUGGGAUACGGCCCAGACCCCGACGGGAGGCAGCAGUGGGGAAUAUUGCACAAGGGGCGGGGGCCUGAUGCAGCAACGCCACGGGCGGGAGGACGGCCUUGGGGUUGGAACCCGCUUGCAGCAGGGGCGAAGCUUGUGGUGACGGUACCUGCAGAAGAAGCACCGGCUAACUACGUG
rnacentral:rRNA from 1 species